UGGGGAAUUUUCCGCAAUGGGCGCAAGCCUGACGGAGCAAUACCGCGUGAGGGAUGACGGCCCUUGGGUUGUAAACCUCUUUUAUCAAGGAGGAAGUUCUGACGUGUACUUGAUGAAUAAGCAUCGGCUAACUCCGUGCCAGCAGCCGCGGUAAGACGGAGGAUGCAAGUGUUAUCCGGAAUCACUGGGCGUAAAGCGUCUGUAGGUGGUUCGAAAGUCCACUGUUAAAAAUUGAGGCUUAACCUCAAAGAUGCCGUGGAAACUUUCAAACUAGAGUAUGGUAGGGGUAGAGGGAAUUUCCAGUGGAGCGGUGAAAUGCGUAGAUAUUGGAAAGACCACCGAUGGCGAAGGCACUCUACUGGGCCAUUACUGACACUGAGAGACGAAAGCUAGGGGAGCAAACGGGAUUAGAUACCCCAGUAGUCCUAGCUGUAAACGAUGGAUACUAGAUGUUGUGUGUAUUGACCCAUGCAGUAUCGUAGCUAACGCGUUAAGUA
rnacentral:rRNA from 1 species